UACAGAGGUCCCAAGCGUUGUUCGGAUUCAUUGGGCGUAAAGGGUGCGUAGGCGGCGCGGUAAGUCGGGUGUGAAAUCUCGGAGCUUAACUCCGAAACUGCAUUCGAUACUGCCGUGCUUGAGGACUGGAGUGGAGACUGGAAUUUACGGUGUAGCGGUGAAAUGCGUAGAUAUCGUAAGGAAGACCAGUGGCGAAGGCGGGUCUCUGGACAGUUCCUGACGCUGAGGCACGAAGGCCAGGGGAGCAAACGGG
rnacentral:rRNA from 1 species